AAUGAUGUAGUUUAAUGGUAGAGCGUGGGAAUCAUAAUCCUAAUGUUGUAGGUUCAAAUCCUACCAUCAUUA
rnacentral:tRNA from 7 species